rnacentral:rRNA from 1 species
AUACGUAGGGGGCGAGCGUUGUCCGGAGUUACUGGGCGUAAAGGGCGCGCAGGCGGCCAUUCAAGUCAUGGGUGAAAUACCGGGGCUUAACCUCGGGGGUGCCUGUGAAACUGGGUGGCUUGAGGGCCUGAGAGGACAGUGGAAUUCCCGGUGUAGCGGUGAUAUGCGUAGAGAUCGGGAGGAACACCAGUGGCGAAGGCGACUGUCUGGACGGUACCUGACGCUCAGGCGCGAAAGCCCGGGGAGCAAACGGGAUUAGAUACCCCGGUAGUCCGGGCCGUAAACGAUGAGUGCUAGGUGUGGCGGGUAUCGACCCCCGCCGUGCCGGAGUUAACGCAAUAAGCACUCCGCCUGGGGAGUACGGCCGCAAGGCUGAA